ACCGACCAAAGGAGAAACAAGCAUGGAGAGACAGUUGGUAGGUGCAUAGAGAUUACUGAUCUAAUCUCACUUUGCAAAAUGACAGCAGGACUCUGGGAAGCUGAGAACUUCGUUAAAGAAGAGAGGUGCAGAGAAAGCUGAGCUGGUAGAACGGAGACCUGAUAACACCGAUAUUGGUAGAAGCACUGAUAACGUCUACUGGAAGCUGCUGGCAUUAAGCCCUUGAGAACAGCUAGUGCUGAGAACUGCUGGUAACACCAAGGAGAGCUGCUCUGUGCAUUUUUGCGAUUACUAAGUUGAGCAAAGGAACUCUGAGCUGAUGGCUAAUACAGGCCCAGGAAACCACGAAGAGAAAGAGGAAGUUCCUCAACUGAAGACCACCAUGGCAUUAAUAGAGCUGAAAUCAAAGGACCAACAUCUACAGGAAGCAGAAGACAGAUGUGAAAGGUGCACAUACUGCUUUUUUGUCUAUGCCAAGUGACAUGUUAACUGCCCCUGCAGAAGUCAAGGAAGGUAAAUUCCAUUCAUAGAGGAAUCUCAGAGAAACUCUAGUAGUCUAAGAAUCUAACAAUACAAGCAAAUUCAUUUCAUUCUAUCUGCCCCCACUCCCUAGAGACAAAACCAACAAAUGACUUCAGCAGAAAUACUACAUAGCAACAGGAGAGGAAUCUGCUGUUUGCAUCACAGAGUGCCAGAACUAAGUUGAGCACGGUGACCUGGGACUGUGGAAAAAAGUAGGAGUUAGAGACCAUCCUGGCUGCCAGGAAUUGAUGAAGCUAACUAAACUACAUGAGACAAUGUCUCAAAAAUAAACAAAUAAGAUAAUUAUUGGAGAUUAUCUAUUGGUAGCAAUAUGCAUUUAAUGUUAUGUAUAUAUUGAACCCAGAAACAAGCCUGAUAAAAAGAGAAAAGGAAAUCAACAAAAUAAUACGGACUUGUCACAUUUGCCUAUAUUGUUAUGGAUUGUAAAACUUAAUUAGGGACCAAGUAUGCUCCAACAUACAGCAAAGACACAUGUUCCACUAUGUUUGUAGCAGCUUUAUUUAUAAUAGCCAGAAGGUGGAAAGAACCCAGAUGCCCUUCAAUAGAGGAAUGGAUACAGAAAAUGUGGUACAUCUACAAAAUGGAGUACUACUCAGCUAUCAAAAACAAUGGUUUCAUGAAAUUCAUAGGCAAUUAGAAAAUAUCAUCCUGAGUGAGGGAACCCAAUCACAAAAACAUCACACAUGGUAUGCACACACUGAUGAGUGGAUAUUAUCCCAAAAGCUAAAAUUAACCAAGAUACAAUCCACAGACCACAUGAAGUUCAAGAAGAAGGAUGACCAAAGUGUGGAUGCUUCAGUCCUUCUUAAAAAGGGGGAACAAAAAUAUUCAUAGGAGGGGAUAUGGAGACAAAGUUUGGAGCAGAGACUAAAGGAAUGGCUAUUCAGAGCCUGCCCCACCUGGGGAU